UAGAGUUUGAUCAUGGCUCAGAUUGAACGCUGGCGGCAGGCCUAACACAUGCAAGUCGAGCGGUAACAGGAAUUAGCUUGCUAAUUCGCUGACGAGCGGCGGACGGGUGAGUAAUGCCUGGGAAUAUGCCUUAGUGUGGGGGAUAACUAUUGGAAACGAUAGCUAAUACCGCAUAAUGUCUUCGGACCAAAGAGGGGGACCUUCGGGCCUCUCGCGCUAAGAUUAGCCCAGGUGAGAUUAGCUUGUUGGUGAGGUAAGAGCUCACCAAGGCGACGAUCUCUAGCUGGUCUGAGAGGAUGAUCAGCCACACUGGAACUGAGACACGGUCCAGACUCCUACGGGAGGCAGCAGUGGGGAAUAUUGCACAAUGGGCGCAAGCCUGAUGCAGCCAUGCCGCGUGUAUGAAGAAGGCCUUCGGGUUGUAAAGUACUUUCAGUGGGGAGGAAGGUGUUGUCGUUAAUAGCGGCAGCAUUUGACGUUACCCACAGAAGAAGCACCGGCUAACUCCGUGCCAGCAGCCGCGGUAAUACGGAGGGUGCGAGCGUUAAUCGGAAUUACUGGCGUAAAGCGCAUGCAGGUGGUUCAUUAAGUCAGAUGUGAAAGCCCGGGGCUCAACCUCGGAACCGCAUUUGAAACUGGUGAACUAGAGUGCU
rnacentral:rRNA from 1 species